rnacentral:rRNA from 1 species
UUGUUGUGGUUAAAAAGCUCGUAGUUGGAUCUCAACAGCCUUGAAGCGGUUAACUUUGUAGUUUUACUGCUUUAUAGGCUGUGCUUUUGCUGGAGGUUUAGGGGUGCUCUUGAUCGAGUGUCUCUGGAUGCCAGCAGGUUUACUUUGAAAAAAUUAGAGUGCUCAAAGCAGGCUAAAAUGCCUGAAUAUUCGUGCAUGGAAUAAUAGAAUAGGAUGUCGAUCCUAUUUUGUUGGUUUUCGGGACUCGACAUAAUGAUAAAUAGGGACAGUCGGGGGCAUUUGUAUUCAAACGACAGAGGUGAAAUUCUUGGACCGUUUGAAGACAAACUACUGCGAAAGCAUUUGCCAAGAAUGUUUUCAUUAAUCAAGAACGAAAGUUAGAGGUUCGAAGGCGAUUAGAUACCGCCCUAGUUCUAACCAUAAACGAUGCCUGCUAGCGAUCUGCCUGCGUUUUUACUGUAGACUGGG